CAGCAGCAGCCACGGGAAUACGAAGGGUGCAAGCGUUACUCGGAAUUACUGGGCGUAAAGCGUGCGUAGGUGGUGGUUUAAGUCCGUUGUGAAAGCCCUGGGCUCAACCUGGGAAUUGCAGUGGAUACUGGGUCACUAGAGUGUGGUAGAGGAUAGUGGAAUUUCCGGUGUAGCAGUGAAAUGCGUAGAGAUCGGAAGGAACAUCUGUGGCGAAGGCGACUAUCUGGGCCAACACUGACACUGAGGCACGAAAGCGUGGGGAGCAAACAGGAUUAGAUACCCCGGUAGUCCCUGUCUCUUAUAC
rnacentral:rRNA from 1 species